UGGCAGGCCCAGAAGUGCAUGAGAUCCAGUACAUUCCAGUGGGAGUACGACUAGGACUGCAACUCAUCAGAAAGGUCAAGAAUGCAUGUAAAAUAUUGCACAGAAACAGCACCUUUUUGACAGCAAACCUGCUGCCAGUGACACCACUUUUACUGAGUGCAGAAGGCAUCUGCAGACAUGCCCAUGUCUCUACCCAACUCCCGCAGCCCCUUCAGCUGGUGCCUACCCAGGCUGCACCUUGUGCCCUGCCAGCCCAGCUGAUGAAGCAGACCCAGCAAAAGCCGCAGGCAGUGUCCACCGGAGUGUCUCAGACCUGUUACACUUUCUCCUCCGUUCGCCAGCUGGGGAUACCGAGGUCCAAGGACAUGAAGCAAAUGCCUAAAGAGAGCCCUUAUUUCCAACUCACCUGCUCUAACAGCUAGGC